GAUGAACGCUGGCGGCGUGCUUAACACAUGCAAGUCGAACGGAAAGGCCCAAGCUUGCUUGGGUACUCGAGUGGCGAACGGGUGAGUAACACGUGGGUGAUCUGCCCUGCACUUCGGGAUAAGCCUGGGAAACUGGGUCUAAUACCGGAUAGGACGAUGGUUUGGAUGCCAUUGUGGAAAGUUUUUUCGGUGUGGGAUGAGCUCGCGGCCUAUCAGCUUGUUGGUGGGGUAAUGGCCUACCAAGGCGUCGACGGGUAGCCGGCCUGAGAGGGUGUACGGCCACAUUGGGACUGAGAUACGGCCCAGACUCCUACGGGAGGCAGCAGGGGGGAAUAUUGCACAAUGGGCGCAAGCCUGAGGCAGCGACGCCGCGUGGGGGAUGACGGCCUUCGGGUUGUAAACUCCUUUCGCUAGGGACGAAGCGUUUUUGUGACGGUACCUGGAGAAGAAGCACCGGCUAACUACGUG
rnacentral:rRNA from 1 species